GUUAACUAAUUACCACCAGUGGGAUUUUCAAUCAAAUAGGUUGAUUUAAGGGCAUUUAAGUAUUGCUCCAUCUCUAAUGGCUACAGGACUACCAGUGCUGCUUUCCAGAGGUGAAAUUUAAGAGAUGUUUAGGAAGAAGAUUGAAACAGAGUUUGAUUUGGGCUUCUAUACCAGCUGAUUCAAGGCUCUCCUACAAAAAGCUCAGCUUCAUGGAGGAUAGAUGACUCAUUUUCAUUCAGCCAAACCUUGCAGAUUUUUUAAUGGUGCAGGAAUAAACCCAUCAAUUUUCUACCUAAGGAAAGGUAAAAUAGAUAUAUCAAGACCUAGAUUGCAAAUGUCAAGUUGAUUUUUGCUGCCUUAGUUCCUGGAUCUUUCAUUAGCGCUAAACACACUUGGUGCAGGGAGCAGAGAGCCUUUGGAGCAGCAGCUGGUGUCUUGGAAGAGAGCUACCUGGGCCAUGCCUGCGGCUGAUGCUAACAAACUUCUUGCUCUGCUCCGGGGGAAACUGUGGGAAGUCGGUGUCGGGUGGGCCAGGGGGAAUGGAGACCCUUUCUUAGCACCAUUCCUGCAAGAUCCAGCUUUGCAAGGCCACCUUCUCCUGAGCAAGAAAUCCCUCUUGGAACAGCUGGCUUAAAGUAGGUGCUCGUCUUCCUUACCUGAGCAGAUUGGCAAAACCAAGUUUCCAAUUUGGUGAAGAGAACAUUUAUUUGUGGGUUCUGCUGCCACGCUUGUGCAAGCGUUCCAGAGCAGUGCUGUGCUAAAAUGUGGGACCAUGUCUUUUAUACCCUGAUGGAAAAGUGGAGGUAUGUGAGCGAAGAGCACAGCAGAAUCUCUUGGCCUUAUUUUGGUUUUCAGUGAUCUUAUUUUGUCCGUGUUGUCUGCAUAUUGACAUGACAACCAAUCAGCUAAAACUUGGCUAAAUACUGACCUCUCUGAUGUGAUUUAAAGCUGUCUCGUGGAAAAAAAUUUGAAGGAUCACUAGCUGAAAUUGAAAUACUCAGCAGCAGGGCAAAGAGAACUACAGUACAUGAAUACAGAGAGGACUGUCCUCAUGGUAAUCCUGGCAGAUGGCAUAAGGUUGCAAGCAAGUAAUAGAAAAUUUUAAAACUAAUGAAACAAGAUUAGCAUAGGCCAUUCCAUUAGUAUUUCUCCUCCCAAACAGUUCAGUCCUGAUUAUAUUUUAUAUCCUCAUGGAAUUAAAGCACUGUACUUGGUGGCUGCAAAGGAAAAUUAGAUCGGGCUACGGUCUGUGGAUGAUUAACUUGCAUUUCCUUUCAGAUUAAAUGUAUAUGCUGGAGCCUUUUGGAGCCACAGACAGACCCUUUUCUUAUGGGAAAUUUGAGCAACAAAUUCAGGGUCCAGUACUUCAUCUUAGGUGAAAUAAACUGGGCACAGACAAACCAAGACUUUCAUGAACACUCACAAAUUUCAAUGGUUCCACCGCAUGAGAGAUGUCGCCGACAAAACAUGAUUAGGGAAAGUUGUGGGACUCCGAGAUCUGUUUUUCCCGUGCACUGGAGAGGGC